UGCAAGUCGAGCGGACGACGGGAGCUUGCUCCCUUAGGUCAGCGGCGGACGGGUGAGUAACACGUGGGUAACCUGCCCGUAAGACUGGGAUAACUCCGGGAAACCGGGGCUAAUACCGGAUGCUUGAUUGAACCGCAUGGUUCAAUCAUAAAAGGUGGCUUUCAGCUACCACUUACAGAUGGACCCGCGGCGCAUUAGCUAGUUGGUGAGGUAACGGCUCACCAAGGCGACGAUGCGUAGCCGACCUGAGAGGGUGAUCGGCCGCACUGGGACUGAGACACGGCCCAGACUCCUACGGGAGGCAGCAGUAGGGAAUCUUCCGCAAUGGACGAAAGUCUGACGGAGCAACGCCGCGUGAGUGAUGAAGGUUUUCGGAUCGUAAAACUCUGUUGUUAGGGAAGGACAAGUACCGUUCGAAUAGGGCGGCACCUUGACGGUACCUAACCAGAAAGCCACGGCUAACUACAUGCCAGCAGCCGCGGUAAUACGUAGGUGGCAAGCGUUGUCCGGAAUUAUUGGGCGUAAAGCGCGCGCAGGCGGUUUCUUAAGUCUGAUGUGAAAGCCCCCGGCUCAACCGGGGAGGGUCAUUGGAAACUGGGGACUUGAGUGCAGAAGAGGAGAGUGGAAUUCCACGUGUAGCGGUGAAAUGCGUAGAGAUGUGGAGGACACCAGUGGCGAAGGCGACUCUCUGGUCU
rnacentral:rRNA from 1 species